rnacentral:rRNA from 1 species
GUCUUUUUGAAUUUUUUUUAAAGUCUAACCUGCCCACUGAAUUAUUUAAAUGGCCGCAGUAUACUAACUGUGCAAAGGUAGCAUAAUCAUUAGUCUUUUAAUUGAAGGCUGGUAUGAAUGGUUGGACGAGAUAUUAACUGUUUCAUUAAAAUUUAUAUUAAAAUUUUAUUUUUUAGUCAAAAAGCUAAAAUAAAUUUAAAAGACGAGAAGACCCUAUAAAUCUUUAUAUUUAAAUUAUUAUAAUUUUAUAGAUUAAUUUUGUUAUAUUAAUUUAUAAUAUUUUAUUGGGGUGAUAUUAAAAUUUAAUAAACUUUUAAUUAUUAAAAUCAUUAAUUUAUGAAUAAUUGAUCCAUUAAUAGUGAUUAAAAAAAUAAGUUACUUUAGGGAUAACAGCGUAAUUUUUUUGGAGAGUUCAUAUCGAUAAAAAAGAUUGCGACCUCGAUGUUGGAUUAAGAUAUAAUUUUAGGUGUAGCCGCUUAAAUUUUAAGUCUGUUCGACUUUUAAAUUCUUACGUG